GACGAACGCUGGCGGCGUGCUUAACACAUGCAAGUCGAACGGAAGGGCCCUGCUUUUGUGGGGUGCUCGAGUGGCGAACGGGUGAGUAACACGUGAGUAACCUGCCCUUGACUUUGGGAUAACUUCAGGAAACUGGGGCUAAUACCGGAUAGGAGCUCCUGCUGCAUGGUGGGGGUUGGAAAGUUUCGGCGGUUGGGGAUGGUCUCGCGGCUUAUCAGCUUGUUGGUGGGGUAGUGGCUUACCAAGGCUUUGACGGGUAGCCGGCCUGAGAGGGUGACCGGCCACAUUGGGACUAAGAGACGGCCCAGAAUCCUACGGGAGGCAGCAGUGGGGAAUAUUGCACAAUGGGCGGAAGCCUGAUGCAGCAACGCCGCGUGCGGGAUGACGGCCUUCGGGUUGUAAACCGCUUUCGCCUGUGACGAAGCGUGAGUGACGGUAAUGGGUAAAGAAGCACCGGCUAACUACGUG
rnacentral:rRNA from 1 species